CCCCUCAGCCAGCCCGCCCGCCCGCCCGCCCAGGCACCCGCCGCCGCUGUUGCUGCAGUCCCCGCUUCACCCCGUCUGUGUGGCUGGCUGUCUAGCGGGGCGGAGGGGGUGUGUGCGAGAGGGAGCGCGCGUGUCGAAGAAGAGGCCUGGCCGGGGGACAGUCCCACGUCGCCAGUUUCGCUAAUCCAGAGCCGAGAGGCAGGGCCGGGGAGCCGAGCGCAGAGCUGCCGCCCCCAUCGAUGGGGCCAGGCGCUGCUGGCGCGGGUCGCUUCAUUUGGUUGGCUUCUGGUUGCCCCGCCUGCCCUCUGGCGUUCGCCUCAGGAGGAACCGCUCGCUCGCUGCUGCCUGGGAGGGUGAGGAGAGAGCGGGGAGAGGAGAAGGGUGUUAUCUUAAGGAUGCAGCAGAACUCACCUAGCUGCCAUUUCUCAAGGAAGAUCUGAAAUCUGACAAAUAAGGAAUAAACCACUAUGGGAAUUGCUCACCCCUCCUGCCACAAACUUUAAAAAGAAAAAAACAGCAGAGCCUGAAACAAAGUAGAACUACCCUCCUGAAAUGUCCCACAAGAAUAGCAAGUCAUGGCAGGGAGCACAAUUUUGUGAUGAGCACCAAAGCAAACCACAACGUCUAGUUCUUUCCCCUUAUUUCUUGAGAGAAUUUAUUUUAAGAGCAUGAUGAAAAUUGCCAUUUGCAGUUACUAUUAACACCACAGUAAAGUUCAAAAAGUGGUACGUUGUAACUAACGUUGUAACUAACUAACGUUGUAACUAACAUUGUAACUAACGCACCAAACAACACUGCCAAACAUUCAGAUUAGCACAAAUACAGGUGAAUAUUUUGGCAAAAGUGUAUUCUUCACCAAAAAUCUUAAUACAAAGCAUUUAGGACAUCAAGUAUUCAAUCUCCCAAGACUCUUGUUCCGUUAACCACAAAGUUAAAUGAGCUUUCAACCUUUCUCCAAACCCAAUUAUUUUAUAAACUACAUAGUCUACACAAAGGAAUAUCCUGCACAAUUUACGGUAUUGAUCAUAUUUGUAAGCUGCUUAGUAUCUGUAUCUCUCUAGGUGGUGUGCACAUUGUUAAA